AUCAGUUCUCACAGGGAGGAUCAGGGAUUUGUGCUCCGUGGUUUUCUCUAACUGCACUGGCUGAGGGAUUUGUGCCCCUUGGUUUUCUUUAACUGCAGCUGAGGACAGGCCUCUGCCAGCACACAGGCAUUUCAAAUAGGAGCAAUAAUUAAAUUAACACAAGUUUAAUCCCUGCCUCCUCCCACUUGAAAUGCCUGAAGUUGUGCCUGGAGGAUUUGAUGCUCUCAUUUCCUGUGUGAAACAGGCUCAGGUCAGAUUGUUGUGCUGGUGUAGGUACAACCUGCAGCUAUCCCUGACCACCUCAGGAACUAAAACUUGCCCCAGAGCUGGAUAAAAAGAUGUUUGGGCACUGCUGUGUGUUGGGAGCUGCCCAAAUGCUCCAACUCCAAGACACUUCAAAAAGACUUCUAAGAGAAGUUGAGCAUUUGGAAGAAAACCAAUCAGAAUUCUUGAAGUUGGCCAAUGAAAUCCAACAGAGGACCAGCCUGGAUCCUUCACCCAAAGCCAAGCUGAGCCUCUGGAGCUCACACCCAGCUGGCACAGCUGCCUCUGCCCAUCUGGGAGGGUCCCUGGCCAUGGUUGUGUGUAAUGUAAAGAAUUGGCAAGCAGCUACCAUCAACUGCAACAAAAAUAUUUGAAACUGCUUUCCUCCUGUGAUGCUUCACUUGCUCUGCAUCCAAUGCAAGCCAAAGAAUGCUGGGCUUGGAAAUGACUUUUCAUGGUGAAUUCAUGUCCAGUUGGAAGUGGCUGUAGGAACUUCUGCUACUGGAAUUGAGGAAAUGCACCUUGGCAUCUAAAGGGAUGAGCAAGAGGUGGUGAGACCUGGAGUGGUUUGGAUGAUGAUUGUGAUCAAAAAAGAACUGUUAUUAUCCAAAAAGUCAUAACUGUACCAGUGCUGGUUUUUGGGGUUUGUUUGUUUGUUUUCUUUCAGGCAUGAAAAUGGAAUGAAUUAGAUUUUCUGUCUCUGUUAUUUUUUGGUUUUGUCAACCAUGUUACACUUUGUAUGGACCAUCAGAGGUAGCUGCAGACUUGCUGUGUGUCAGAGUAGCCUGCUAGAUUGUAAACACUUGUGAGGAAAACAGAAUUGGUGCAGUUAAUUGUUCCAGAAAUGUCUCUGAGAGCUGUUUCUGUUCACACAAGUGCUGUUAUCCUCUUUCACUUGGUGAGAAAGCUGUGCUACCUGCCAUCUCUCCAGAACGGUUUUUGAUCUCUAAAGUUUUUGGUUUCUAAAGAGAAACAGGCUGAACUUGGGGGUAUGGCUGGAAUGGGACAUUUCCCACCACCUUUUAUCUGUUCUGCAGCUGGCCUUGCCCCACCAUGUAAAUGGGAGAAUUUUGUGGUGAACAUUAACUCUGCUUUUGCAGACCUCUGUCAGAAACUUCAGCCUGUGUGUGGACGGGCCAGAAGCACUAAAACAAAAUUUCAGAGCGAACAAGAAGGAUUUCUAUGACUGGAUUUUUGGUCCAUAGCCCAGCAGAACCCUUAAACACAUGUGCAAUCUGAGGGAAGUGUGUAACAUCUUAAGUGAAUUUGUUUCAGCUGUGUUCACGCCUCCAUGUCAAGUACUUCCCAUGAAAAUUGGGACUAUAAAACCCUGCUGGUAUGAAAGUUUUUUCUUCUAUAAAGUUUAAAGUUGUGUGCAGCAGUAUUCCAUAUCCCAAACUAAUAGUUUGCAUGUGCGAACCAAAGUAUUAAAUUCACAGUUUUUGAGCAAAGCCAAUGUUUAUGAUGUGAUUCAUCCAGUGUGUCACUUACCUGCUCAAUCACAAAGCUGCCUCAAAUAUUGUGAAAUUGGGGUCUGUGGGAG